AAGAAAGACACUUUCCUCAACUAGCUUGUAUUCUCACAUCAGAGUAAUGGCUCUGCCUAAUGGCGCUCCCCCUUUUAAAGAAACCGUCAGCCCUGAGCCACUCACUACUAAGUAACCAUCAGCCCUGAGUGGUUACUAAGAAACAUCCCUUUCAUUGUCUGUCUCUCUUAGUCUCUCUGACACUUUAAGAGAACCCCUAUUCCAGUUUUAGGUCUGCAGUAUUUGUGUAAUCAUCAAGAUGACCUGCAUCAUUUUGUACAGUGUAACAAGUUAGCUUUGAAGUUUGAUCCCUUCCCGGGACUAGCAAAGUGCAGUGCAGAACUCUCAUGUGCUGGGCAGUGGCAGGGGCGGCAGCUCUCAGUGAGCUCAGCAGAAAUGUAGCAGUACAGUGUGCUGCCGGGCUGUGGGCCUCUGUGGGCUAAGUGGAUGAGAGGCAUGUGUUAUCGGUACAUUACCCUCAUUGAAGAUUUUUAGAGGGGAUGGGCAUGUCCUUAAGAGGGCCAAUCAGAAACUUGAAAGGACAUCUGUAAACUCAAAUCUGCUUCAAAAUAUUCCUGUUCCACCCUCCUCGUGCUGUAGAAGCUCACUAUGAGAAGAAAGUGGUGGGGGGGGGGGGUCUUUGUUACCUUUAUAGCCAUCACAGUGCAUGGGCUUCCUGUUCCUUACAGAGCCUGUGUAACUACUCUUGUGCUUCGAGAUACAAUCAGUGCAUUGUUGAUGAGGGGCCAGCCUUUUGAGGGACGUGGUCCCAGAGGCUUUUGGUUUUUUUGUUUUUUUUUUGUUUGUUUGUUUGGUUGGUUGGUUGGUUUUUUUUUUGUUGUUGUUGUUCUUUUUUUCGGAGCUGGGGACCGAACCCAGGGCCUUGCGCUUCCUAGGCAAGCGCUCUACCACUGAGCUAAAUCCCCAACCCCGAGGCUUUUGUUCUGAUGACCCACUCCCCAUACUGAGUUGUUUGGUCUGUCUAGCACAGUCUCCAGGGUGCAGAUGAGGACACCGAGGACCAGGAAGUUAAAUACCUCUCAAGUCUUAGAGCACAGAGAGUGGCUACAAGAGAGCUCUCAGGCAGAGGUCUUCUAGGAGCUGCCACCAAGUUCUGCGAUUAUCAUCCUCAGCCACUUUCCGAGUGUGUGUAGAUACAGAGGAGUUUGGGUCUUGCCAACAACAUAGCGUUCUGCUUUGGAAGCACGGGGCAAAAUACGUAGACAUUAUCCAUGACAAGUAAACUCACAGAGGAGUGGGAUGGUGUGACCCUUGCUUGAAAUAGGGCCGAACUCCAAGCUCUUCAAGUGGAGUGAAUGGUUCUUGCAGACCAAGCCUCAGCAGGCUAAUCUCGGUGUGGCUUAGAAGCAGGCUGAGGCUGUAACAAGAGAACCUGGUGCUGAUGAAGAGCAGUUGGCCCAGGUUAGGUCACCGACAUGGAGGGUUGGGAGGGCACAGGGGAUGCUGUAUUCUCUGCCAUUCUCAGCCAACCCUCCAUGGAAGUGGGCCUAGGGAAGCCACCCAGAAUUGCAGCAUCUAUCAAAGCCAAAGUAUCCUUUUAGCUAAUUUUGAAGAAGUCAGCGAGUUUAGAACGAACGCUAAUGAAGCCAGUUUGGAAGAGCCCUGUCUCCCUUCCACUUCUGCCUUGCCAUUUGCCUGGAGACCCAGAGCCGCUAAAUGAGAAGUGACCUAGAGUUUCUAGAUGUUCAUUUUCAGGUUGCUUGAGAUCAGGGAACUCGUCUUCCAAAUAAGCGCAUGCACGCACGCAUGCACACACAUACACACACACACACACAAGCUUCCUUUAAACCUUAAUUCUAGGCUGCUGAGAUCCUGCCAUGUAUAAAGUGCUUGCCAUGUAAAUGUGAAGCCUUGGACUGGCAUUCGACCCUAGCAGCCACAUGAAGGUCAGGUAUGUGGCAUUCUAAACCUCCAGCUGGGAAAACAAAGGCAGGAGGAACCUUGGAGCCCAAUGCCUAGCCAGCCUCUCUGCAUUGGCAAGCCCAGGGUCCCAGUUAGAGACCUUAUCUCAAAAAAUAAACAUAAUGGCUUCUGAAGAACAUCACUCAAGGUUGGCCUCUGGCCUGCACAUGUAUUCUUACACACACACACACACACACACACACACACACACACACACACACACUCGAAAAAUACUUAAUUGCAUGUUAUAUAUCUAUAAGAAGUGAUUGUUUAUAAGGAGUGAUUGUUUAUCUGAAAGAUCUGUAUGGAAAUGUCUGCCUGGGGCUGGAGAGGUGGCUCAGUGGUUGAGAGCACUUGCUGCUUUUCCAGAGGACCUGAGUUCGGUUUCCAGGAGCUAACCUCUAACUGCCUGUAACUCUAGCUGUCAGGGACCUGACGCUCACUUUGGCCUCCUUGGGUACAAAUACUCUCAUAUGCACAAAUUUAAAUUUAAAAAGUCUUCCGUGUCACCCGUAUAAAGUUUACAUUCUAGGAAGAUAAGAAUAAUUGAUCAGGUGAGGUGGCACAUGCCUUUAGUCUCCAGCACUGGGGAAGCAGAGGUGGUUGUGUAUCUCUGCAUUCAAGACCAGCCUGGGCUACAAAGUAAAUUCUCAGAUAGCCAGAGCUACACAAAGAAACCCUGUCUUGGCCAAAAAAAAUGCUAGACAUCUUUGAAACCCCACUUAUCUUCAAUGAAUCUUGAAGAUCAGUUGCCUGGUGAACCCCGUACACAGAAAUGGCAGCAUGCACAGAAUCACACAUGGCUACACAUGCACAGAAUCAAUCACACAUGGCCACACAUGCACAGAAUCACACAUGGCCACACAUGCACAGAAUCACACAUGGCCACACAUGCACAGAAUCACACAUGGCCACACAUGCACAGAAUCACACAUGGCCACACACGCACAGAAUCACACAUGUACAGUCCCCCAAAAGGGCAAAGUACAUUCCUAACUCAUAAAUGGUUUUGAGCCUUCCUAUUGUUUCAGACAUUAAAUACAUGUAUGAUUGGCGGCGACCUGCAUGUGGGCUCCAAUGUAAUUCUUACACCUAUUAUUUUGAAAUAAUUACGGAUUCACUGAAAAGUUCUCCAGCUUCAGCCCCCACAUGCCCUUCACUCUGCUUCCGGUAUUAAUAACAUCUUCAUAAUCAUAGCACCGUAAGCAGUCUGUCUCUCACUAAUGCCCUUUCUCAGCCUGACAUCAAGGAUUCUAUGUGCAGGUAAGGGGCACUUUGGAAGUUAUUUCACAUAUAUUUCUCAGGUUUGUCCAUGUUAAUUUCAUCAUUGCCGUCAUUGUCACUAUUUAAUUGGCAGCAUCGUCCUGCAGCCUCCAUUGAGACCAUUGGGGUUGUUCAAAACACUACAGAGCAGAAACACAGCUUCCUCAAAAUGGUGACCAUGUCCCCUUUUCAAUUACUGUGUUGGCACAGAUUGCUAAAACUGAUAUUGCCAGGUCAGAGGCCAUCAGUCUUAUGGCUCUGUCACUUACUGUAAAAUUGCUUUCAGAAAGCCUACGGUAACUUACAGUCCCAUCAGUAAUAUUAUAGACCCCGCUUCUCUCAUCCCAGGCCACCCCGGGCUUUGCCGGGUUUUUAUUUAUUUGUCUUAGCUUUAUUGCAUAUGAACUAUUACUUUUUAGUAUUAAAUUUCUCAUCUCCCUUCACCUUCUGCCUCUCCCUCCCUCCCUACUUCACUCCCUCCCUCCCUCCCUCCUUCAUUCCCUCCCUCCCUCCCUCCCGUGUUGGAGAUUCAACCCACAGUCACAAGCCUGCCAAGUAUACACUCCGCCGCUGAGUGCCAUCAGCAAGUAGGGCAUUUCUUACAGCAUAAUUAAAGCUCUUAAGUAAUCAUUUCUUUCUGAUGUUCAGGGUUUUUUCUACUGUCCCCUCUCUAUCCUAGGAAAUAAUCCACAAAGCCACUUAAAUGUUUAGUCCCUAGAGGUCUCUGUAAUGCAGAACUGUCUGCCACGGUGCUCUUAAAGUUAUUUCUCUCCAAUUAUUUCUUUUUCUCUUUGCUGACUCCUAUCAGAGAAGAAAAUAUCCCUCCACAACCAGGCCUUUCACAGGUAAUUACAAAAGGACUGGUUGUGUUUUGGUGGCCAGGUAGGAAGCGCUAACAGGCCCCAUUGUCUAUAGUCUUCCCUGUGCCCCCGGCCCACUUUCUUGCUGUGAAAUCUGAGUUUAGUCCUCCCGUGACGCAUGGUGCAUUGCUGACCAAAUGCAUUAUUAACACCAAAAUAAGAUCAGAUUGUAGAAAAGUUAAUGCUUUGAAAAAUAAUACACCAAUUCUUUCCAUCCUUUGUUGCAACUGUUCAGGUUUCUGUAAAGGAGAUUUUGUGCCACCUGCUGGAAAAUAUUGGGAAUUGCACCUUUAAAGAAAAUGGCUACCUUUUAGAAUUGUUGAAUUUAAAAUUCAAGUGAUUUUAAAGAUUUUUUUUUUUUAAGUGAACUCUAGGGUUCUACAACUAGUGGAGAAGACAGCAUUGAAUGUGGGUCUCCUGAGCCUCCAGCCACCUGCUGCUACUAUCUUUGUAUCUUUGUAUCUUUCUCACUUUGUAUCUGUGACUUUGUUAGGAGUGGCUUUGGGGGCAUUGGUUUUUGAAUUCAUAGUGUAAGAAACAAGAUUAUGUUGUCGGAAGCAUCUGAUCCUUUGGGUCUCGAAUUCCUCGUCUGUAAGAUGAGCACACUUCAUAUUAGAAGCCCCUCCUGAUUCUGAGGGGUUAGAAGAUUGCAUAUGAAAUGAUGCCCUAAUCGAUGCUUGACGGAACAUUCAGAGAUCAAUUGGUUAUGUCUGAGUCUAGACGAGGAAUGCUGUGGUACUGGCUUCCCUUUCACAGGCCCUAUGCUCUGUUCAUGAACUUGUCCUGCAAAUGCACAAGUUCCUCGCACUGUACAUAAGAAAGUGAUGCUUAGAACAGGUUUUAUAAUGCAUUUCAUCUCGUAGCUGGUGGAAAUAAGAAGGUUUAAACCCUGAACAUAAGACUCUCGAACCUAAGCAGGUGUCAGGCCCACAUGUUCCAAGCUACUGUUUCCCCGGCCUAAGGUUGCUUUGGCUGUCUGACCAGAUGGGGUUGAGGUAGAGCAGAGUUGCCAGGGGUGGACGUGAGUUUGGGAAGUGCCUAUAGAUGGAAUCUUCACCCACUUCUGGACUCCUGCGGCCCAUUGCUUUAUGGUGUGCUGACAUUAGCAAGGUCGGUAUGAUUGUCCUGGGGUAGGACAAAGGAUCCCACUGCUGAGUCCAAGAGCCACACAGAUGUAGAUACGGCAGGCCUACAGAGAACACUUCGUAGGCGACGCUGUUGAGUUUAAAACUUAUAUCAAAAUAAGACAUGAUUUUGAUGUAUCUUCUGCGGGGACAUCAGCAUGGUCUGUCACUGCAGUACCUUCCAAGGCUUACGUCUGUUCACAGUUAGUGCUUGGUCACUCAGCCAUUUUAUUACCAAGGCACUGGAUCCUAUGAGAGUGAUACCAGUUGGGGCCAGAGGAACUCUCAAACAAAUGGGAGAUGAGCACGGGGUUCUAGUAUUUCUCUUGAGAUUUAUUUAUCUGAGCCUUCCCUUGCUUCCUAUUAGCAUAAAUUUCCAUGAAGUAAUUCUAUUAGCUAGCAGUUCACUAGAUUAACCCUGAGAGAGAAACAGGAAAUCACAGGGAGUGUCUUCUCUCAUUCAGAUCUAUUCCUGGUCUGUAACAAAUUCAUUAUCAUGCCUUAGCAUUUCUGUGGGAUUUUAUAGCUGCAUGUAGUAGUUUGUACCAUUGAAAAUUUUUUAGUUUUUUUUUUUUUUUCAGAAAUGCUGAACCAUGAGACACUCUCGGGUUUGAUUUGCAUGGUUGGCUCAUUAACUAAGUGAAAAAAAGUUGUAGACUGCUCAGUGCCAGUGUAGCAAACAUACUUAGUAUUCAGUGAUAUGGACAAGACACAGACUCUGGCUGGACCUGCCCUGUGCAGGGUCUGCUUCUUACUAGUUAUGUGACUUUAGGAUCUCGUCCUCUGUAUUACAUAGUAAACUGCUCCAGAACUUGGUAGUUAGAAACAGUUUCAUUUCCCUCGUGACUCCGAGUUUGGGAAUCUGUGCAGACUUCAGCAACACAGCAGUGCAGUCCCUCCAUGAUCCACUAGUGGGCAGCAGGACCUGGAGGAUCUGCUUCUAGUGCAGCCAUCACUGGACUCAUCCUCUGCCUUGCUGGGGCUUUUAGCAGAAGAGAUCACUGGGCAGGAAAAGAGGAGCCAAGUGAGAGAAGGAAAUGGCACCAUCAUCUUCUGUUAGUCAAAACAGAACUCUGACUUAAGAGGUAGAGAAAUGGACUCUCGAUAGGAGAAUGGCAGGGUCACAAUACAGAGAGUGUAUCCUGGGACUCUUUAUCGCAGCAAAUUCUGAGAGAGAGAGAAAAUCAUCCCCAGGCAUCAGCCAUGCAAAGAGAAUGCCCUUUGUCAAGGGGAGUGCAUAUCUGCAUGACUCAGUCAAGAGGCCGGGCCCUAGCACCACUGACAAGUGUGCCAAGUCCUGUUUGAAAGAGAUAUAGCCAGGGAGGCACGGCUGCUGGGUGGGAAUUCAUGGAGGGAGGAGUCAGAUCUUGUCUCAUCCCCAGGAAGGAAGGGCCCAGUGCUCUGCUUGGGUGUAGUUGGCCACAGAAUACCAAGGCACAGAGCCAGACUGCCCAGCCUAACCCUGCGUGGUCUGGUCCACCUUCCCAACCACAGCUCCCCAGCCCACAGCAGUGCUGACACACAGCAUGUUGGCUAGAGCUCAUUUCCCUCUGAGCCUAGGGGACAGAGUUUUGCGUUUCUAAAGCUGUUUCCUCGCCUUUAUUUGCCAACAUGGCUGGGCAUAAUACUGAAGUCCUGGCAGAAGCCUGGCUUCUUCCCCCACUGUUAAUAUCUGGUCACUACCUUUGUCCAAGUGACUCAUCCAGGAACCGACUGCCAUGGGUGAGUCUCUGAAUUCUAAAGGAUGCCGCUUUAUCAGUGAGAUGUCAUUAUCAACCGUUAGUGAUAGGGCCUGUUGGCAGAUGCCUGAGGAGGCUAACUAAAGACAGACAGGCUCGCCCCCUUCCUGAAGGGGCUCUGUAGGAAUCAGGGUGAGUCAUAGCCAUUAACAGUGUACUGGUGGCUGUACCCAGAGUGGACCAGCAGGUGCUCAAACCCUGCCCUGUAGGAUUCUGGGAGGGAACUUUGGAUUAUGGACACUCUGAGAAAAACACAGCCUUCAGCAGAUGCACCUGUAGCUCCCUCAUCCAGCAGGGCUCUUCAGCGAGGGUCUCCAGAAUGCAGAUGUCUUUCCAUGGCUUCCCACAGCAGAUGCAACAUACUCUGGCCUUGUUCCCUGGGGCUGGUUGCCAGGUAACGGUGUUUUAGUCGUAAUGAAGGCAGUUCUUGUUUAUUUGCGGCUAAUAAAAUGAUGGUUCUUUUAUAGGACAAUGAUAAUGAGUCCGCUGCCAGGCUGUUUCUACCUAAGCCAUUUCUCCCUCUCUAGGGUGCCACACUCCUAUUUAAAAGGUCCUCUGAGCCCGAGGCCCUUCAGCUCGGCUGUGAAGAACAGGGCCUCAGCUCUCCCUCUGCCGCCGGCUCAGACACUUGUGUGGAAAUCAUGUCACAGCGGGCUUCUCUACUUCCCAUCUCUAUACCUGGCACCAGGAGCGAGGGCUUUCAGCCGUCGUGUGCAGCAGCUGGUCACUGGGCAUCUGCUCAUUCAACGACAAGUGUGCACACAUGGGUGCUGACCCAGGCUCAGGAGGAAAGCCUGGUAAUAAGUAAGAAGCCAUACUGGUGUCAUUUCACAGGGACAGGCUAAGGUUUCCAUCCGAAAUGUCCCCGCAGGCUCACGCUUUCUCCAUGUGGGAACUGAGCUGAAAAUAUAACCACCGUCAGUGCCGGCAGCACUGGCAGGCUGAGGGGGUCUUCGGGAGGUGAAGCCUCUCUGGUGGAAGUGGGUCCCUUGCAAGGACCUUCGAUGGUUGCAGCCCAGCCCUUGACUCCCACCCUGCUCUUUUUGCUUCCUGUUUGCCCUGUGAGGAGCCUCUGCCACAUGCUCCCACUGCAUGAACUCUCUCCCGCAAGGACUGAACUCUCAGACACCACAGGCCAAAACAAACCUUUUAAGUUGUGUGUGUUAGGUAUGGUGGCCACAGCAGGCCAAAAAGUCGCUGCUAUAGACAGCUACCAUGCAGCUGGAAUUCAUGAAGAGUCAGUUCACGAAACUCAAACACACCGGUUAUUUCAGUUGACUUUGAGUGAUUCUCAACCUGUGGGUGUCCAAAGCCCACCAGGAAAAAAAAAACAAACGGAUAUUUACAUUACGAUUCAUAACAGCAAAAUUAUAGUUAUGGGGUAGCUAUGAAAGUCACUUUGUGGUUGGGGGUCAUCACAACAUGAGGAACUAUGUUUAAGGGUGGCAGCAUUAGGAAGGUUGAGAACCACUGCCUUAGAUGAAAGACUUUAUUAAAAACAUGCCCGGUCGUCAUUGAGCCAACAUAUUCCUAACCAGAUCUCUAGCUAAAGCCUGAUCCACCUGCCCUCUGCUGUUGGCACCACCAUGAGUCUACCUGCUUUGAUCUCCCACAAGCAGUGCAGUCUGUCAGUCAUCUGGUCGCUGAGCCACAGCCCAGCAGCUGUCCUUUCUCUUGGCGCAAGUGCAGACUUGCCCUAAAGUGCUCACUUGGUCCACUCCUGGCUCUCUAGGGGACUGUAGUGUUGGGAGUUCCAUACCUUACACCCAAGUUCACCUGUGGACAUAAGUCAGUCUUGGAAAUUCAGAGGAAGUCAGGUGGUAGAGUGCACACCUAUAGUCCCUAUAAACUCCAGAGCAGAGGAGGAAGGAUCACCACAUAUGUAGUCUAUAUAGAAAAUUCUAGGCAAACUAGGACUAUAUGGUGAUAUUCUGUUGCCAAAGUGGGUGAUGGGUAGGACAGAGUUGUUUAUGUGUGUGUGGCUGGCAUACUCAAGUAGACAAUGGGGGAGGGGUACAGCUAGAAUUUCUGUCUGUAGUAUGCUACACUAUCUAAGAACAGAAUGUGGAGUAGGAGUUGGAAUCCUAAGUUCUAGCCCCAGACUGAUCAGCUGAUGGCAUUCUGUAUGACUUUGAGCAAGGCAUCUAACUUCUAGACAAUUCCAGCUUUCUCAUUUAUAGGAUGAAGUGAUACUGAUCUUAGCCCGGAGACCUCACAGCGUCAGUAUCAAGACUGAGAGGAUAUGUCUAGAGACAACAUAAAAUGCUAUUAUCUCCUGAGUUCUCCCUGGAAAACAGCCAGAUGUGACAGUUCCCAACAGCCUUGUCUUUUGUGCCGGUUAGCUGUUUGGGCUAUCAUGUGGAUAAAGUCCCUAGAGGUAUUGUGAGGCUUAGUCUUGUUCUGUAGCCAGCCAGUCUCUGCCAUCUCUAAGGUGUCAUAUACACAGUCUCUGAGCCCAGAGCUAAUGGUUUAAACAGUUGAACUUUUACCAUGUGUCUUAGAGUAUGGCGAAUAGCAUGAAUGGAAGAGGGAGACGUGUGGUUUACCCUAGCUUUCGUGAAAACACAGGAAGGACUUGCUUAUACACCAGUUGGACAUGGAGUUCUAAUCGUCCAUACAGACAGGUGCCCGUGAUGAUGUGUCGAGUCUCCUGCCUGUUAAUGGUCCUGUCUGUUUGCUGGUGUGAUGCGAGCAGUUGACUGGUUGCAUUUAGAGCACCUGUAUAUGAGGGAUUGUUCGCUUUACAUAGAAUAGAUCACCCUCCCUGUCCCUUACGUUGAAGCACGCUUGUUAAAAAGACAUCAAUCCAGAGUCUCUGAGUAGUGUAGCAGGAGUGGGGAAGAGACACCCAAAUUAAAACACAGACACUUGUUUUCUGGGCCCUCCAGUGCAAAACUGAGCUGAACCUUCGAAGGCCUGGCGGGGAAGAUCUGGUCUUCACACAGUGGCUUUAGACUGGGGGGUUGAGGGUAGGAUUGUUGUUGAUUUGUUAUUUGGGGUGCUGGGGAUUGAACCCAGGCCUUUGCUGGGUAAAUGCUCUACCACUGAGCUCUAUAAUAGCUAUAAAACCAAAAAUCAAAGUUCUAUGUAAAUACUAAUGUGAUGAGUGAUGCUGAGAUUCCCCGGCUGUGCGCUCCUUGCUCUGCAGUCUUCCCCAGCACCGACAAUGAUCCGAGUGACAAGAACUGCCAAAGACGAGGGACUGUGGUCAACUCUGGCCCAAUGCUGCCAACAGCAGUCAAACAUGCUUCUGCUGACAAAACAGGCUGUGAUAAAUAGUGAAACACUUAUAAAACAUUUCCCCCAAUUUUUUGUUUGUUUUUGUAACUUAAUAAAAUGUUAGCCUUAAAGGUAAACAGACAUGGAAACUGAGGCACUGAGCUAGCAUGUGAGCAUGUUUUGGUGUAUUAUGUAUGAAUACCGCUCUACUCCUCUGAACUUUAUAAUGAAAAGCUUACAUGUAUACACAUGUUCACGUAUAACCUGUGUGUGUGUUCAUGUGCCAUAGCCAACAUUUUGGGUGUAUCUGGGUUUUUUUUCUGAGCAUAGCUAGUGCUUUGGAAUGGUCCACAGCCCAUGAGGUACCAGAUGAAGUGACUGCUUUGGCCACUUACUUAGACCUGUGCCAAGGUAACUCGGCUAGCACCAGGCACAUUGCCCUGUUCAUGUGUGCAGAGAUCCUGAAGCCAUUGACACACACCUGUGGCCUCUUUUAUCGCUUACGGAUAUCCUGUCUUCCUCUCCCUUGGGGUGGAUAGUCUCCACAAAGUGAUUUGGAAGCUGAGGUGGGUCGGCUGGGCACGGUGGUAUACUCCUAUCAGUUUGGAGACAGAGGCAGGGGGAUUGCAAGUCUCAGGCUAGCCUAGGUUGUACAAGACCUUGCAGAGAUGGGGGAGGAAGAGGGAAGGAAGGAAAAGGAGAUAAGGGAAGAAGGAGAGGUGAUGACCACAGCUCUAAGCGCUGAGAGAUCAAAACCGAGAUUCAGAUACUGGCCCAACUGCCACCAUUGGUACAGGGAAGUCUACCUGGGAGAGCUAAGCCGCCAUCCUGGUUUUAUGCCACACCCAUAGAGUCUUUGCUCUUAUCUGGGCUGUGGUGGUUGUGGUUGUUGUUAUGAUGAUGGUCGUGGUGGUUGUUGUUGUGUUUGUUGUGGUAGUGGUGGUGGUUGUUAUGGCUGUUGUUGUCCCUGAGUUCAGCAUUUCUGCUGCUCAGAUUCGCCUGUAGUCCUACCCCGCUUACUUGAAACCCUGUGGUGGUGGCCAGCCUGGCUGUCAUUUUCUCCACACUCCUUCACCUACCAUAGGCAACCAUCUCACAAUCCCCUGAGGAGGCUUAACGCGCCCACCUCCACUCUCCUUACAAUUCAAAGGAUGUGUGUCGUUUCAGCUUUUCUGAUGAAUUUUCUCUGGACUUCUGGUUGGAAGAAAAGUGAGCAGCUCCUAAGUCCUGGUUAAGAUAUGUCAGUUAACAAAGUACUGUGGGGACCCUGACCUCCGCUGACAUGAGGGGUGGCUGUAAAUGAUGACGAGAAUUAGUGAGAAUGGGAAGAUGCCACCGGUCACCUAUCUGAGACCUUGGGCAAGUUCUUUGCCCUUGAUGGGCCCCUCGAUCAAGCAAAGAGUAUACAGGGCUUUGAGUUUGUCUCUGAGCACAAGGUUGUGAGGAUAACUGAGGUUAACUCAGUGUAGACUCUGAGGAUGGGAGCCACUGAGUGAGUGCUGAGUAGUAGUUCAGAGAAGUGGAGAGAAGGGUCAGAGAAGGCCACCAGCGGGUAGAUCCACCGCAGUCCCACUCAGCAGGCAGAUUUCCCACCCCCAACAUGGUAGUAACAAGUUACAACCAGUACUACAUAGUAGGAGCUACUCUAAUACACAAGCUCUUCAAAUGUCAGCAGCACAGCAUGACCUGGGGACAUAUGGGCUAUGAAACUAAUAAAGAGUUCACCUUUUUUUUUUUUGAAAAGUACAUUUCUUACUUACAUUAAUUAUGUGUAUUCCUGUGGUUGGUGUGGGUGCCAGCCAGAGGACUGCAGGAGUUGCUUCUCUCCUGUAACAUAGAUCAAGCGUCUUUGCUUGCCGAGUAUCUCAGUUGCUGUGAGGAGACACCAUGACCAAGGCAAGUCUUACAAAGGAAAGCAUUUAACUGGGGCUGCUUACAGUUCGGAGGCAUAGUCCAUGAUCAUCUUGGCAGGAACAUGGCGGAGUGCAGGAAGACAUGGUGCUGGAGAAGUUGCUGAGAGUUCUACGUCCAGAUCAGAAGGCAGAUGGAAGAGAGAGUGACACUGUAGCUGGCUUGAGUUUCUGAAACCCCAAAGCCUGCCCCCAGUGACAUGCUUCCUCCAACAAGGCCACAACUCCAAUAAUGCCACUUCCUUUGAGUCUAUGGGAGUCACUUUCAUUCAAACCAGCACAUUGAGCCAUCUCAACGGCCCACCCUCCUUUUUUUCCAACCCUCCCCCUCCACACAGAGCUUCUCUUGGCUCUCUAUGAGUCUUUGCCAGUUUGCCCAUUCACUGCUUCCUUCUCUCCCCAUUGCCAUCCUGGCUUUGUGAUCCAAUGUGUAGUCGCUCCUCUUAGAAUCUGGGGGAUCCAUGGGUCCUGUUGCUGUUCAGCCAGCACCAGGUGGGAGCACCCUGUCCAGUAAACAAAAUGGGAGGCGACUGAGUGUCUGAAGAGCCCCACUCUUACCUCUCAGACCAGCCUGUUCACAGUAGUGUCUACUUUGUGCUUUCUUUCUUGUGGACUGCACAUGGAGACUCUUCCCUCCACCUGUCUGUCUGCAGGUCAAGCCUGAGAUAGAUACAGCUACAACUUUGACAUCUCCUUUAUGUCUCACAGUUGUUUAUUUAUUUAUUGAGAUAGGGUCUCACUGUGUAUCCCAACUGACCUCAGCUUCACUAGGCUGGCCUUGAACUCGCAGAGAUCCAUCUGUUUCUGUCUUCUGAGUGCUGGGAUUAACACUAUGCCCAGUAAACUUUUCACUUGUAAAUUCAUAUACUCUUACUCAGAAUUCAAUAUGUCUAAUUUAUAAAGCAAAUUCUUAAAAUGCUGUGGUUCUGAGCUGACCUCCGUCAUCUUUCUAGGGCAUGGGAUGGGGCUGAGGCUGCGAGCAUCUUGGUUGGAGGAUGGUGCUGAUAAGGGCGCCUUUUAUGACAGCCUUCCACCCCUCACUGCCCUGCCACGCCUGUCACUCACAAAGCAGAUACCCACACUUCUUGCCCUGGCAAUGCUCUCGGGACUCAGGUUUACUCAGCUGUGAAAUGAGACGGUCAGGUUCUGGGAUCCCCAGAGCCCGUGUUCAAGGCUCCAUGCUGUGGUUAAGUGGUUUUCCUGAGUGAAUGUUGCUCGCUCAGAGUCAGCUUUGAGGACUAAAUGGCUCACAAAUGCACCUUGGAGCUGGGAACAGCCGUGCUUUUAAUUGAGGUCUUUGUAGGUCUUCAUACGCUGUGAACUCAUUGAGUUCAUUUCAGACCUUCUUAAAGAAGUUACAGAUGCUUAAUUGUUUUUUGAUGAGUAGCACAGCAAAGCCUUCCUUGAAGAGCAAUAAUGAAAAUUGAAAUGAGUCCUGGGACAGGCACUGAUGAUGGCUAAAAGUUACUGAGGGCCAGGAGUUGCUGUAAGUCCGGCUUCCUGUGCAUGAACCCACUUAAUCUUCGCAGCACUCAGCUGUGUGCUAAGGGGCAGGGUGCGCCGCACUCCAAACCCCUUCAUGUCCCUUACCCACCAGUUGAGGGAGGGGGUCAACCACGGAACUCACAGGUUCAGGCUAAGCCAGUUAAAUGAAAGGACUAGCUAGUGGGGAAAGCAAAGUGCCCAGAGGGCCUGUUGGCUUCAGAAAUCAAGGGCCCCAUGAAAGGGGAGCAUUGGACAGCAUCAGUGGAGAAAGGGGAGAGAUCGGGAGACAGAAAACCACCAUGCCUGGUGGAUGAGGGGUCUGCGCAGAGUGAUUGAGAGCCCAGAGCAGAUGGGGGUAGGGCAAGAGGCUUGAGAGGCGUUGUACAGCUAGAAACGUCCAGACAGAUCCUUCAGCCCAGAUCCCUCUUCCCUUCACAAGAGUCCUGAAUAGACUUCACUAAGUCAGAUGACACGCUGAAGCUCACCGUUCACAGCAGCACCUAGGCUUCCCAGCCCCUCGCCUCGUCAGAGGAUGCCUUUCCCUUACACGUGCACUCACAGAUAUCAGAAAGCGUGAGACUAGUUGAGUGCUCUGCGCUUUUCCCCCCACUAUGUUCCCACAUGCUUCCCCCAUGAACUGACUGUUCUCAUCCUCCAAGACGGAGAUGUUCUCCAAAGUGAUGGUCAGCACCGAAUUAGUGAGUGCAGAAGCCUUGCAAGUGGAGCAGGCCUGUGGUCAUGUUUGGUCAUGUUUGCGUUGAGAUCACUAGACAGCCUUGUUCUAUGAGUUUCACCUUAUUAGCAUUAUUAUGCAUUACUGAUUCAGGAAUGUUGAACAAGCCACCAUUGGCAUUGACCCCUUGUCUGAACUACAUGCCUAGCACAUGUUUUUCUUCCUUAAGUCUUCUUGGGCUUAGGAACAUUUGACUUGGGGAGUGGUGGUAGUAGUGUCUGUGUGUCUUGUACGCAUAUAUGUGUAUAUAUCGAGAUGGGCAUGCAUAUAUAUAUAUACAUGUGUGUACGUAUAUGUGUACAGGUGUGUGUAUACACAUGUGUGUACGUGUGUGUGUAUGUGUGUGUGUGUGUACACGUGCAUGCAUGCAGUCAGGGUUUAACGUCAGGUAUCUUCCUCAGUGUCUCUCCCCUUUGUUCUUUGAGCACAGUCUCUUGUUAAAUGAAGUGCAUCAGUAAGGCUAAGCUGGAUAAACAGUGCACAACCCAGGAUCUGCUUCCCAAACACUAGGAUUAUAGCCAUUCACCCCCCCACCUAAGCGCUUAGCUGGGUCCUUGUCCAUCUAAAUAGAGGCUGUUGAUGGAGCUACUGCCCCAAACCCUUUGAGGACUGUUUUACAUAGGAAGAGGUCAAAGCACUGGGUGGACCAGGGAGAGGACACGUGUUUAAAGUGUCAGAGCUGGGCCCAGAAGGCCAAACAUCACUUUCCUGCACUUUGGCUGGGAAGCCACAGACUGCUGGCUCACUUACAGUGUCAACUCAGGGCUUGCAAGUACGUUAGGAACUCAAAAAUGGGGUCCAUGUCCUGUGAAGUGUUCUUGGUGAAAUUGUGAAGGCCUUUGCACUUGAGCUGCUCAAAGGAGGGACUUUAUUCAAGCCCCCCCCCCACCUGGGGGGCACCAUUUGUGGUGGAAUCACCUGCCCGAGCAGAUUCAGGGUAGAAGAUCGAAGGAGCUGUGCAUUGCUUCAGACACUUCCUGGAGAGUGAGUAAGACAUGGGCUAAAAUAUCAACGACAGCCUUGCUUGGAGUCUUUUUUUUGUUUUGUUUUUCUGUGUUGCAAAUGUACUUGCCGUUUGAAGAUGAACUAUGCAGUGUCCCUCUCAUCCCAGGUUUCCUAGGUCUGGCCAUGCCAUCCGUACCCAGGCUGGGGGAUGAGGAUGGACGCAGCCCAUCUUUCUUGGUUCCAGGACCUCUCUGUUCCUUUUCUCUGUCUCAUCAUCUCCCUUAGAACUCACAUGGCCACCAUGCUUUCCCUGGCAAAACAAACCAUUCCUCUUAACAUGCUGGGCUCUGACACACGUUGUGGUUUACUCUGUGCUUACUCAGGGAAUGGCCUCCUCAGCUCUGCAGCUGAGACACAAUCUGUAGUGUAAAUCAGCCAUUCGGAACCAAGAACUUGCCCCUCAGUCUUUUCCAAGACUCCUUUGGGAACAAAACUGCUCAUGCUUAUGGAGAGUAGGAAUAGUUUCCCCGGCACACAGGGAUCUGAUGCACAUCUGCAGGAACAAAAGCAGGAAUCUGGGAAGUGAGCUUCUUGGCCUCCUCUUACACAGGCUCCUACUGCAGCUGUGAGGAAGGAGGAGGAGCUCUGACAUUCAUCGCCAACACCUUGGCUUGGGCUGGCAUUCAAGCAUCACCAGCAGCAGAUGCAGUCAGCCACCCUUUUGUAAGACUUUCCGCUGUCAGUUUUACAAUGUGACUUUCAAUGAUGCUUCAUGGUACCUUGGAGCUGUCCUUCUGUGCCCUGGGAUGCAGUGGGGUAGGGGUGGGAAGAGUUCUGACUGGUACUCUGUUUAAGGAGACUUGAUAGGUAAACCUGUCUAGUCUAAGUCAGAUCGACAGUUGUUGGGUUUAAGAAGUCUCCUUGGGGUCGAGGGUAUAGCAGAGUGGUAGGGGGAUGUUAGCAUGCACGAGGCCAUCGUCCCUACUGUUAAAAAGAAAAGUCUCUUGCACAUUCGUACCCCACUCUGUCUCAGAGCCAUAAUGACAUACAUUCUCCUUCUGAGAAGCUUUCCCAUUGUGAACAAAGUUAAACAAAGCACUGCUGAGUUCCAGACUUGGCCGAGAUGGCUUGGGUGGGCAGGAAUUGUUUAGAUUGUCCUCUCCCAAAACUUGUUCAGUGUCUACCAGUAAGUGGAGCCUUGCAGCGUGAGCUUCCCAGUCAGUAUUGACCUUGAGAGGUAGAGGAAGUGUCAUUAGAACAGUGAGUGUCCAUUUCCCAUUGAGGAAAUUGGACCUAUGCCGUGCUUGGGGGCUCAGUCCCAGGGCAGGACUCUUGAGUACCCAAUGCAUAGACCAGGAAUCCACUAGAUGCUCACUUAAAGGACUCCAGUUACAGGCAGAACUCAGGAUGCCUCUCUGCCGUUGUGUCCCAAGGUCCUUCCCUAUGAGUUCCAAUUUCCAGACCUGUUUUUACAGCCCACCAGCUAUUGCAGAUGUCUCGUCAAAAGCAGUCGCUUAACCUGUGGGUGGAGACCUCUUUGGCAGAUUUCUAACAAAGUAACAACAAAAAUAAUUUUGUGGUUGGGGGUCAUCACAGCAUGAGGUCGCAGCAUUAGGAAGGUUGAGAACCACUAUUCUGAAGAGUCAGAUGAGGAUGCUGUUGGGAACUAAGUAGUGACUGCCCACAGAGAGAGCCACCCUUCUGAUAGGCAUAUGGGCACUUAGAGUUGAACAUCACACUUAACCCCGACUACAACUAUGUUAUGGGUGAAUGAGUCCUUUUGGAUGACCUCUAUGCCAGCUGGUGUGGCUCAUUUGAAGCUAAUGCUAUAAAAGCUAGCAUACCGAGCCUGCGCCCAGAUCGUCUGCAGUUACUUUAUGUGCUUGGCACAGGUCUUCAGAGUCUUAGUGUUCCUUAGAACUGAAGGACUGCUGUUGUCUCUCUCUGUCAGUGCUGGGAACAGAGGCACAGGACAGAGCUGGUCCUGUGUCACCUGGGAAUUAAGCAGGGAGCUCUAGGGUUUCUAUCUGAGUGUCGUGGCUUCAGCGUUGGCCCAGUGGACAUUGCUGUUCUUCCUUCCUGUGUAUGGAUAGUGCCGGGCCUCUGCUCAGAGCGCACCAAUUUAAUCCUCAGCAGCACUUGCAGGGGCAAUGGCUGCCCUGUGGUGAUGCAAGCAGGAAAUGAAGGGUGAUGAACACAGAGAGGGAACAUGCAGAGAGUAGAUGUCCCGACCCCCAGCCAGGUCUACUCAUUCUCGCCAUGAUCCUUCUGUGAGUCUUAGAUGAAGCCUGAGGGUCCUCCAUACUCAGCAGUACCUAUUGACUGCACUGCAUGCCCCUGGUGCUUCCCUGGGCUCUGGGCAUCCAGAGAUCUGUAGGGGUGGACAUUCCUCUCUCCAGAGCAGCAAAUACCAAGCCCAGAAUGGGAGAAUUAGUGCUGCUCUUGGGCUACUUCUAUUCAUUGUGGUGUCCCUCAUUCAGUUUCACGGUGCCGGUUUCCUGUCCGGUCAUAUCCAGAUCAUGACGCUGCACACCCCACGAGAGUUGAAGUGCUGCUGCUUGCUCACUGUGUAAGCUUAGACAGAUCGGCUAUGUGUGCUGUGCCUCCGCCUCUCAUUCAGAAAACAAGAAAUACAGCAACUGAGUUGACGGUGUAAGAGCAUAGUUUGCUGCGUGUUAUAAACUUGGUCUGUGAUCUGUGAGUGGCACAGACUAAGCCUCAAAUAAGCUAUCUCUGCCAAUAAGAUGAUGAACAUUGUAAUAUACCUGCAAGUUUAUGCACACACACACACACACACACACACACACACACACACACACACACACACACA